GGGGCCGUCGGCUAGUCUGGUAGGCUGCGUGCCCCGGGCGCACGCGACUGGAGUUCAAAUCUCCACGGCCCCA
rnacentral:tRNA from 5 species